UUAGACGGCCAUAGUAUUUUGGUUACACCUGAUCCCAUUCCGAACUCAGAAGUUAAGCUUGAUAUGUUCGUGUUUGUACUGUCUAACGAUGGGAACGCACGAAGCUGUCUAUU
rnacentral:rRNA from 1 species